GAUGAAGAACGUAGCGAAAUGCGAUAAGUAAUGUGAAUUGCAGAAUUCAGUGAAUCAUCGAAUCUUUGAACGCACAUUGCGCCCGUCAGUAUUCUGGCGGGCAUGCCUGUUCGAGCGUCAUUACGCCCCUCAAGUGCCCUGUGGACUUGGUGUUGGGGAUCGGCGAGGCUGGUUUUCCAGCACAGCCGUCCCUUAAAUUAAUUGGCGGUCUCGCCGUGGCCCUCCUCUGCGCAGUAGUAAAACACUCGCAACAGGAGCCCGGCGCGGUCCACUGCCGUAAAACCCCCCAACUUUUUAUAGUUGACCUCGAAUCAGGUAGGACUACCCGCUGAACUUAAGCAUAUCAAUAAGCGGAGGA
rnacentral:misc_RNA from 1 species